UAGCUCAGCCUCUGUUUACUGAAGUGAAACCAAGACCCAGUAAAAGUGAGGGGCUUGCAAGAGUCCUGAGCUUUGGACAGAGAAAUAAAGGAGCGGACACAGAAUGCACAGGAAAGCAAGGUACAUAAAACCAACUGCUCACUUGCCUAAAAUCUCAAUACUCUCCCCAGAAAGCCCAUGACCUAUAAAGAGGAAGAAUACUCCCAUUGUCGCCUAGUGACUGAGCACAUACACAUGCCAGACACGGCCAUGCUGUGUGGGGAAUUAGAGUUGGAUAAAAGAAGUUCCUUGGCCACCUAGAGAAGCCCAGCACUCAGUGAAAGAACCAGACAUGGACAUGAAUAACUAUAAUACAUGGCAGAAAAUACAACCAUCACGAGAAAAAUGCAAACCAAGAGCUUUUGGAGACAGAGGAGGGAAGAAGCGACUUAUUCCCCAAAGGGAGGCUGGAGAAAGGAGCUGAACUGUGGCAGGAGGCAGGGGAUUAGCCCUGUUGGUGGUGCUCACCUAACCUCGGAACCCUGCUUUCUACCCACAGUCCCACAUAAACUGCCGUGGUGGUGUGGACCCACAGUCUGACUACUCUGGAUGGAAGCAGGAAAACUGGAAGCUGAAGGCCAACCUGAGUUCCACAAAACCCUGCAUU
rnacentral:lncRNA from 1 species